AGCGAACGCUGGCGGCAGGCCUAACACAUGCAAGUCGAACGAACCUUUCGGGGUUAGUGGCGGACGGGUGAGUAACACGUGGGAACGUGCCUUUAGGUUCGGAAUAACUCAGGGAAACUUGUGCUAAUACCGAAUGUGCCCUUCGGGGGAAAGAUUUAUCGCCCUUAGAGCGGCCCGCGUCUGAUUAGCUAGUUGGUUGAGGUAAUGGCUCACCAAGGCGACGAUCAGUAGCUGGUCUGAGAGGAUGGUCAGCCACAUUGGGACUGAGACACGGCCCAAACUCCUACGGGAGGCAGCAGUGGGGAAUCUUGCGCAAUGGGCGAAGGCCUGACGCAGCCAUGCCGCGUGAAUGAUGAAGGUCUUAGGAUUGUAAAAUUCUUUCACCGGGGACGAUAAUGACGGUACCCGGAGAAGAAGCCCCGGCUAACUUCGUG
rnacentral:rRNA from 1 species